GACGGAGGAUGCAAGUGUUAUCCGGAAUCACUGGGCGUAAAGCGUCUGUAGGUGGUCAAAUAAGUCAACUGUUAAAUCUUGAGGCUCAACCUCAAAAAUCGCAGUCGAAACUAUUAGACUAGAGUAUAGCAGGGGUAAAGGGAAUUUCCAGUGGAGCGGUGAAAUGCGUAGAGAUUGGAAAGAACACCGAUGGCGAAGGCACUUUACUGGGCUAUUACUAACACUCAGAGACGAAAGCUAGGGUAGCAAAUGGG
rnacentral:rRNA from 1 species